rnacentral:rRNA from 1 species
CCUACGGGAGGCAGCAGUGGGGAAUAUUGGGCAAUGGGCGCAAGCCUGACCCAGCAACGCCGCGUGAAGGAAGAAGGCCCUCGGGUUGUAAACUUCUUUUAACAGGGACGAAGAAAGUGACGGUACCUGUUGAAUAAGCCACGGCUAACUACGUGCCAGCAGCCGCGGUAAUACGUAGGUGGCAAGCGUUAUCCGGAUUUACUGGGUGUAAAGGGAGCGUAGGCGGGGAUGCAAGUUGGGUGUCAAAACUACCGGCUCAACUGGUAGUCGCACUCAAAACUGCAGCUCUUGAGUGAAGUAGAGGCAGGCGGAAUUCCUAGUGUAGCGGUGAAAUGCGUAGAUAUUAGGAGGAACACCAGUGGCGAAGGCGGCCUGCUGGGCUUUUACUGACGCUGAGGCUCGAAAGUGUGGGGAGCAAACAGGAUUAGAUACCCGGGUAGUC